UCUCCUACCCUGUACAGAUUUUUUUUUUUCUUCCAGAACAUUGAUUUUGUGGUAUUUCUGCAUCUCAGUUAAGAUGCUUCUUAGAGUUUAAAGAAUUUAGUGGGUCAAUUAACAGUAUUUGGGAUUUGGCCAUUAACAGUAGCAACUUGUAUCUGAGAGUUAAGUGGCAGUCAAAGUAACACAAUACAAUGUUUUUUUUUUGUUUGUUUUGUUUUGUUUUGUUUUUCACUUGGCAUAUUUGUGCUUUAAAAGGCAGCUCUGCACACCAAGUAAGUCACUGUUUCCAGCAGAGCCACAGGAAGCUGCUUCAGAAACACUCGUCUUCUCCAGCCUCUCUCUCCUCGAAUCUUCAAUCAAAAUGAGCAAGAUCAUUGUUUUUAGCAAAGAGGCCUUCGAGGGCAGAACAGCUGAAUUCAAGAACGAUGUCCACAACUUAGAAGAAAAGGGCUUCAGCGACGUCAUCUGCUCCAUAAAAGUCAUUGGCGCACCAUGGGUAGCGUAUUAUGACAAGAAUUUAGCUGGAAAGCAGAUGGUGUUUGAGGAAGGAGAGUACGCCACCCUUGAUGACAAAGGAAGAUUUUCUUCCCUCAAGAUAGUCACAGAUGACCUGGACAACCCUGAAAUCCAGCUGAAUGUGAAUUAUCAAGGAAGAAGCGUGACCCUACGCAAAGAAGCCAAUCUUCACGAUAUUGAUUUCAGUGACGUAGCUUCUUCCCACAAAGUGAAAGGUGGUGUCUGGGUGCUAUACAAGCACGUCAGUCAUCGGGGUUCCCAGAUUAUUCCUUACCCUGGCAAUGAAGUUCCCAACUAUUUUCCACUUUCCUUCAACGAUGUGGCCAGCCAUGUGCGCCCCUUGCUGCCGAAGCCAUAGACAGCAUCAUUCAAAGUACGCUUUCUGCAGCUGAAGAUGAACUGGAAUCCUUUUGGAAAGAACGAGGCAGGUGGUGGGGAAUGAUGGAUCAUGACCAGAAACUUGAUUCGACUCUUGACUGUGAUGGCAAUCAGUCUGAAGAAACUUCAUGCAAUCAGACUCAAUCUUAUCAUUUGAGUAUAUCUGUGUAAAGACAUACUGUACAUGUUAACUUGGCAAAUGUUAUAUAACAAGGAUGAAUUUUAUUUGAAAGAGUUUUUGGCUUGUCAGCUGUAGCAAUCAGUAUCAGUAAACAUGUAAUAAAAUAUAGUCUUGGAAUUGUUACGGAUCUACUACAGAUCCUGUUGUAUUUGAUUGUAUUUUCCCUGUUUGAUGAGAGUGAAAUAUUGAAAAGGAUUUUGGAUUUAUAUUAUGCUGAGAAAGAGACAAUGAAUGCU